GUCGAGUCGGCCUGCGCGGAAGAUGUAACGGGGCUAAACCAUGCACCGAAGCUGCGGCAGCGACACUAUGUGUUGUUGGGUAGGGGAGCGUUCUGUAAGCCUGUGAAGGUGGCCUGUGAGGGUUGCUGGAGGUAUCAGAAGUGCGAAUGCUGACAUAAGUAACGAUAAAGCGGGUGAAAAGCCCGCUCGCCGGAAGACCAAGGGUUCCUGUCCAACGUUAAUCGGGGCAGGGUG
rnacentral:rRNA from 1 species